rnacentral:rRNA from 1 species
UAGGGAAUCUUCGGCAAUGGACGAAAGUCUGACCGAGCAACGCCGCGUGAGUGAAGAAGGUUUUCGGAUCGUAAAACUCUGUUGUUAGAGAAGAACAAGGACGUUAGUAACUGAACGUCCCCUGACGGUAUCUAACCAGAAAGCCACGGCUAACUACGUGCCAGCAGCCGCGGUAAUACGUAGGUGGCAAGCGUUGUCCGGAUUUAUUGGGCGUAAAGCGAGCGCAGGCGGUUUCUUAAGUCUGAUGUGAAAGCCCCCGGCUCAACCGGGGAGGGUCAUUGGAAACGGGGAGACUUGAGUGCAGAAGAGGAGAGUGGAAGUCCAUGUGUAGCGGUGAAAUGCGUAGAUAUAUGGAGGAACACCAGUGGCGAAGGCGGCUCUCUGGUAUGUAACUGACGCUGAGGCUAGAAAGCGUGGGGAGCAAACAGG